AUACAAGGAAAAAAUAUUUUACAGUGACGAUGGUAAGGCACUGAACAGGUUGUCCAGAGAUGUGAUUUAUGCCCCAUUGAUGGAGGCUUUCAAGGUGAGGCUGGAUUAGGCCCUGGGCAACCUGAUCUAGCUGUGAUGUCCCUGUUCAAUGUUCAAAGCCCUCAGAGGUCCCUUCCAACUCUAAGAUUCUAUGAUUUUGAGAAACCAUAAAAUCUGAAGUGCUUUUUAACCUGCAAACUGCAUUUUAUACCUGAAGUCUGUUUUCUAAACCUCGCAUAUAUGAAGGUAAACUGAACCACUCAUUUUAUUGCCCUCCUUCUGUCCAGGCUGCUCACAUUAGAACUGUUGAGAUAUUACUGUACAGAAAUGUUUAGGACAUUUCCUGUAAUUUCAUACUUGAGAAACCAGCUUGUCUUAACAGUUAUUUCUUCCCUUUGAACUGUAAAAUAAGAACUUCUUGGUGUAAUAACAGAAACUGUAAAUGUGACAAAUCUCCUUUGGUUAAAUAUAUAUAUAUAUAUAUAAUAUAUAUAUAUAUAUAUAUAUUGCCUCAGAAAGACAAGCUAUUGCAAGCUUGCUGUGUCCUUGCUGUCCUAAGAAGCUCCCUCCCUUUUUUGACAUGCUUCUGUAACCACAUGAUAUUCACCUUUAUUUUAAAUUUUGAAUAUGGUAAAGCUAAUUAGAAGGUUGUAUAAGAGGGGAACCUGAUUAUGUUUUAAACAAAGCUGAUUUCAGUCGUCCCUGUUUGUUUUCCUAUUGAUUUCAUUAUCCAAUCAUAUUUGUUUUCCAUGCCAACAUGCUAACGAGGAUGAGGAUGUGUAUGUCUGGCUGGUCCAACCAGCAUGACUUGUGGUGAAAUGGGGUAAAGGCCUCCAGAUCCAAAGUCACCAUCAUAUUUUGUGGGUUCUUCUGGCCAAGUAACCAUGUGGUCACAUCAGAUGUCCCUUUUGUACCCUUCAGGUCUGUGGUGUUUGGCUGCAAUACAUUUUUAGAAAUGGGGAAAGCGAUGAAGAUUACAGGAGUGGGAAUUGGCCUACCAGACAGCAGCUGUCCUUCCAUCCUCCAUCUCCUGCAGGCUGAUCUUUCUGUCUCUCUCUGCAGUUUACAGCUGCCUUCACCUCAUCUGUUGCCCCCAGCAACCACACCUACCUUCAUGUGGGAUUAGUGUUGCAGGUGAUUUGUUGAGAUGUCCCCUUGCUAAGAGAAGGUACUGCACUGAGGAAACCUCCAGGGUGGAAUACAGUGAAUAUGCAAAGAAUCUGUUCCAUGAUGGUUCCCUAGGCAUCAUGCUCUACAACCUUGGAUGCUGGGAGCUUGAUGUGCCUCUCUUACCCCCCAUAGGAACUCCUACUAGUUGAGAUUUGCACAUCUGAUUAUAGUGAGCACUUCCCCAGGAAACUCAAAAUCACUAUAAAGUUAGUUCUUCAUUUAACACAUUGCGGCUGUGUUAUUCACAUUUUUGGAACUCGCACGUGCUCUGCAGACAGUAUAUUUACCACUGGCAAUCCAAAAGAAUCUGCAGUCUGUUGCUUCAGUAAACAGCACAACUCGUCCAUCCGGCCCUCAGAGUUGUCUUGGAACGCGACCAAAUGCCUUCGAGUGGGGGGGGAGGAAAGGGGGGUCGUCACUGAGCGCUGCUGCCACCUGCUGGAAGAAUCGUGGUACUAUAGGCGCCGUGUACAACAGAGGGCUCAGUGCUGCCGCCUGCUGGGGAAGAGGCGAUGUAGAUACUGAUCCACGCAUGAAUAGCAGCGCAGAGACUCGCGCCCCGCUCCCCCAUAUAUGUGUGAACAGAGAGGCACCUGCAGUACCGCAUUUCAUCCAACAGACGGCAGCAGCGAGCACCUUGGAACUGGUGCGCAUGUGCAGCGCUGGGGCGGUCUUAAGGAAAUUUGCCUCUCCCACGGUGGAGCACUUGGGGCAUGCCGAAGAUGUUGGGGUACAUCGUUGAGCAUCCAGCUCUGCAGCCAGGGGCCUGGGCUGGCCAGCUGGGCACUUGGGAGAGCUUCUGGCUUGCACUGUGCUAUACGUAUGGAUGCUUGACCUCUCCUGGCUUCUCCUGGCAUAGCCUGUGCCGUUCCAUUCCAUGUGUCUGUGUCCCAUAGCUGGGCAUUGCGCUGCAGCCACUCCAGGUUCCUGCGCAGCUCCCUGGCAGUGAAACACAGCAAACUCCUUGCCCACGUCCCCAUGUGGAGCAUGUCCAAGUGUCCCUGCUGGAUGAGGAGCAGCAGCGAGAGCACCGGGGUGUGCAGUGUGCUGGGCUGUGCAGGAGUCCUCAGGAAGAAGGAAUGUGAGGGAGGAAGGCACUGUGGGGGGAGUUUUGUCCUUCACAGCAGCAAAGCCAGUCUCAGCCUGGUAUCUAUGAUGUCUGCUGGGCAGGGAAGGGAUGCAAAGUGGAAGAAAUAAAAUUAAAAUGACAAGGAGCUUGGAGGAGGUCGGCCUAGGGAAAAAUAGAUGCACUUCUUGCAAAUGGGAUGGGAAAUCUCAGUGUUGCAGAGAGACUGAAAAAACCAGAGUGAAGCCAAAUGUACAUCCCAGAGUGCCUGGGGAUGCUGAGCAACUGGUGGGUAAAUAACCAUUUUCUUCCUUGACAUGAGACGAAGCCUGGCCUUGGAGGUGCCCCCAGACCCCUUGUGCUUUGUCCUUUUCCCUGAGUCAUUCCUGCUCUUGCAGCUGUUGCUUCCUACCAAGAAAAGUUCAGUGUGGCUGUUUAUCACUUGCUUCAUUGCGUUUGUAUGCAUGGCA